rnacentral:rRNA from 1 species
AACCUUUGUUCACUCCUUACGGGGGAGACAGUCAUGAGACGUGAGUAUAAGACCUGAGUGUAAAGACCUUAGGGUGAAGCAAUUGGAGGGCAAGCUUUGGUGCCAGCAGCCGCGGUAACUCCAACUCCAAGAGUGUCUAUGGUGGAUGCUGCAGUUAAAGGGUCCGUAGUCGUGAAUGCAAUUAAAUGUCGUUGUUCAAUAGCGAUGAGUUUGCUAAUGUUUGCGGAACGGAUAGGGAGUGUAGUAUAGACUGGCGAAGAAUGAAAUCUCAAGACCCAGUUUGGACUAACGGAGGCGAAGGCGACACUCUUAGACGUAUCUUAGGAUCAAGGACGAAGGCAGGAGUAUCGAAAGUGAUUAGACACCGCUGUAGUUCCUGCAGUAAACUAUGCCGACAGCCUGUGUGUGAGAAUACGUGGGCGGGAGAAAUCUUAGUGUUCGGGCUCUGGGGAUAGUACGCUCGCAAGGGUGAAACUUAAAGCGAAAUUGACGGAAGGACACUACCAGGAGUGGAUUGUGCUGCUUAAUUUAACUCAACGCGGGAAAACUUACCAGGGUCAAGUCAUUCGUUGAUCGAAUACGUGAGAAUGGCAGGAUGGGUGCGGUG